ensembl:lncRNA
AUAAACACCGUUGCUGUUGUUGGAAAUGUGACUCAGGUGUUCAGAGGAGAGCGACACAUUAAAUCAAAACUGUGCUAGAUCUGUCUGUCACAUACUGCCUGAACCAUUCCGUAAUUACCCAGAAGGCUUUUCAGGACGAUACAGUUUGAAGAUAAGGGUAUAGAUCAAUCCACAUCCUAAGCACCAGAAAAGGCUAGAAGAGAGGCAAACAUGCUGGCUAACCUGCUCACCGUCCUCCGAAACUUCACGGAGAGUAAUUUCCAAUCAUCUGCCAUGUUUGAGGGGUCUGAGUCCACGGACACACGGGAAGUCAAAUCUGAGAGCACCCUUGGGUCCUCUGUCAACGCCUNUGUGUGUGUGUGUGUGUGUGUGUGUGUUUAAACCUAAAUCAUGCAAGUGCAUGAGCGCAAACACUUCCAGCUACACCAAUGUUAUCUAGUUAGUGUGCAGUUGGUUUCAGUAGGUUUCACCAUAUGAGCUCUUGUGGUUGAGCACUAGCGAGAAUCUCAUGCUCCAAUCACAGUGUGAUUAACAUGAAGCCUUACUGAUUGGCUGAUCUCCCACCUGUCCAGGGAACAGAGACUCUGGCUUUUUGCCAUCAGCACUUUUUACUCUGUAGGCAGCUGCACUACAAGUCAGGUUACAUUAGCUGAUGCUCUGCCAGUGUGAGCGAGAGAAGGGACAGAGAGAAAGCGGCAGUGUGACAGAACAAGCAGCAUGAUUAAUCCAGUAUCUCCCUUGUCUUCUGGCUCUUUUAACUUUUGUCUCAUUCAGCCAAGCGCUUUAUUAUUAUUAGUGGAUUGCUCUUAAAGGAAAGCGGCCCCUGUGGGAGCAGAUGCAGGAUCAGGGGAAGAGGAAGUUACAAUAGCAUGACUCUGUGCUAAUCAGUUUUGUAGCUCUCAUAGGAGCUGUUGUGAGAUUAAAGUGGAUGGGUCAUUAUUUAUGGGAAUAGCACAGGGGUCCACAAACUGAUUGAAAUAUGGUGACUUUUUUUUUCGGUGUUCCUGAUUUAUUUUUUUAUAUAGCUAUUGUCAGACAGAC